GGGUAUUUAGUUUAACAUAAAACAUUUGAUUUCGGCUCAAAAGACCGUGGUUUGAAUCCACCAUUGCCCU
rnacentral:tRNA from 1 species